rnacentral:lncRNA from 1 species
UUAGAUCAUAUUGUGAGGCCUGCACAAAAAUUCUAGAGAGAGAUUGUUGGUAGAAAAAUAAAAAUAAGAAAAAUAAAAAUUAGGGACUGAAAAAUAAAAAUGGAAAAAUAAAAAUAAGAGAAUAAUAAAAAAUAAAGUCAAAAUUAAUCAAGAAUCACACAAAUAGAAUAACUUAAACCGUGAGUCCCUGGCAACGGCGCCAAAAACUUGUUGGGGCAAAUCGACAAGUGUACCGAGUCGCACAAGUAAUAUAAAAUGGUAAGACCAAGUAUCGUAUCCCAGAGGAAUCUCGACG